UACGGAGGGUGCAAGCGUUAUCCGGAUUCACUGGGUUUAAAGGGUGCGUAGGUGGGCAGGUAAGUCAGUGGUGAAAUCUCCGGGCUUAACCCGGAAACUGCCAUUGAUACUAUCAGUCUUGAAUACCGUGGAGGUAAGCGGAAUAUGUCAUGUAGCGGUGAAAUGCUUAGAUAUGACAUAGAACACCAAAUUGCGAAGGCAGCUUACUACCCGAAUAUUGACACUGAGGCACGAAAGCGUGGGGAUCAAACAGG
rnacentral:rRNA from 1 species